rnacentral:tRNA from 1 species
AAUAAAGUAAGCUAAAUUAUAAGCUGUUGGGUUCAUACCCCAAAAAUGAAUAUAAUUCCUUUAUUA